rnacentral:rRNA from 1 species
GGUAAAUCUCGUGCCAGCCACCGCGGUCAUACGAUUAACCCAAGCUAACAGGAGUACGGCGUAAAAUGUGUUAAAGCACACCGCUAAAUAGAGUUAAAUUUUAAUUAAGCCGUAAAAAGCCAUAAUUUCAAUAAAAAUAAGCAACGAAAGUGACUCUAUAACAGCUGACACACUAUAGCUAAGACCCAAACUGGGAUUAGAUACCCCACUAUGCUUAGCCCUAAACACAAAUAAUUAUAUUAACAAAAUUAUUCGCCAGAGUACUACCGGCAACAGCCUAAAACUCAAAGGACUUGGCGGUGCUUUAUAUCCCUCUAGAGGAGCCUGUUCUAUAAUCGAUAAACCCCGAUAGACCUCACCAAUUCUUGCUAAUGCAGUCUAUAUACCGCCAUCUUCAGCGAACCCUAAAAAGGUACAAAAGUAAGCGCAAUCACAACGCAUAAAAACGUUAGGUCAAGGUGUAACCUAUGAAAUGGGAAGAAAUGGGCUACAUUUUCUACACCAAGAACACCCAACACGAAAGUUAUUAUGAAAAUUAAUAACCAAAGGAGGAUUUAGCAGUAAACUAAGAAUAGAGUGCUUAGUUGAACUAGGCCAUGAAGCACGCACACACCGCCCGUCACCCUCCUCAAGUAAAUACAAUGCAUCUAACCCUAUUUAAAUGCACUAACCACAUGAGAGGAGAUAAGUCGUAACAAGGUAAGCAUACUGGA